AGAGGCGAUGAAGGACGUGCUAAUCUGCGAUAAGCGUCGGUAAGGUGAUAUGAACCGUUAUAACCGGCGAUUUCCGAAUGGGGAAACCCAGUGUGAUUCGUCACACUAUCAUUAACUGAAUCCAUAGGUUAAUGAGGCGAACCGGGGGAACUGAAACAUCUAAGUACCCCGAGGAAAAGAAAUCAACCGAGAUUCCCCCAGUAGCGGCGAGCGAACGGGGAGGAGCCCAGAGCCUGAAUCAGUGUGUGUGUUAGUGGAAGCGUCUGGAAAGGCGCGCGAUACAGGGUGACAGCCCCGUACACAAAAAUGCACAUGCUGUGAGCUCGAUGAGUAGGGCGGGACACGUGGUAUCCUGUCUGAAUAUGGGGGGACCAUCCUCCAAGGCUAAAUACUCCUGACUGACCGAUAGUGAACCAGUACCGUGAGGGAAAGGCGAAAAGAACCCCGGCGAGGGGAGUGAAAAAGAACCUGAAACCGUGUACGUACAAGCAGUGGGAGCACAGAGCAAUCUGUGUGACUGCGUACCUUUUGUAUAAUGGGUCAGCGACUUAUAUUCUGUAGCAAGGUUAACCGAAUAGGGGAGCCGAAGGGAAACCGAGUCUUAACUGGGCGUUAAGUUGCAGGGUAUAGACCCGAAACCCGGUGAUCUAGCCAUGGGCAGGUUGAAGGUUGGGUAACACUAACUGGAGGACCGAACCGACUAAUGUUGAAAAAUUAGCGGAUGACUUGUGGCUGGGGGUGAAAGGCCAAUCAAACCGGGAGAUAGCUGGUUCUCCCCGAAAGCUAUUUAGGUAGCGCCUCGUGAAUUCAUCUCCGGGGGUAGAGCACUGUUUCGGCAAGGGGGUCAUCCCGACUUACCAACCCGAUGCAAACUGCGAAUACCGGAGAAUGUUAUCACGGGAGACACACGGCGGGUGCUAACGUCCGUCG
rnacentral:rRNA from 1 species